UACGUAGGUGGCAAGCGUUGUCCGGAUUUAUUGGGCGUAAAGCGAGCGCAGGCGGAAGAAUAAGUCUGAUGUGAAAGCCCUCGGCUUAACCGAGGAACUGCAUCGGAAACUGUUUUUCUUGAGUGCAGAAGAGGAGAGUGGAAUUCCAUGUGUAGCGGUGGAAUGCGUAGAUAUAUGGAAGAACACCAGUGGCGAAGGCGACUCUCUGGUCUGCAACUGACGCUGAGGCUCGAAAGCAUGGGUAGCGAACAGG
rnacentral:misc_RNA from 1 species